rnacentral:rRNA from 1 species
GAUGAACGCUGGCGGCGUGCUUAACACAUGCAAGUCGAACGGAAAGGCCCUGAUUUUGUGUGGUGCUCGUUUGGCGAAGGGGUGAGUAACACGUGAGUAACCUGCCCUUGACUUUGGGAUAAAUUCAGGAAACUGGGGCUAAUACCGGAUAGGAGCUCCUGAUGCAUAGUGGGGGUUGGAAAGUUUCGGCGGUUGGGGAUGGAUUCGCGGCUUAUCAGCUUGUUGGUGGGGUUGUGGCUUACCAAGGCUUUGACGGGUAGCCGGCCUGAGAGGGUGACCGGCCACAUUGCGACUGAGAGACGGCCCAGACGCCUACGGUAGGCAGCAGGGGGGAACAUGGCGCAAUGGGCGGAAGCCUGUUGUGGAAGCGCCGCGUGCGUGAUGACGGCCUUCGGGUUAUAAACCGCUUUCGCCUGUGACGAAGCGUGAGUGACGGUAAUGAGUAAAGAAGCACCGGCUAACUACGUG